rnacentral:rRNA from 1 species
GAAACAGUUGCUAAGACUGGAUAGGAAAUUAAGAGGCAUCUUUUAAUUUUUAAAAGACCUUUUUCGAAAGGUAUGCUUAAAGAGGGGCUUGCGCCACAUUAGUUAGUUGGUAAGGUAAAGGCUUACCAAGACGAUGAUGUGUAGCUGGACUGAGAGGUUGAACAGCCACAUUGGGACUGAGACACGGCCCAAACUCCUACGGGAGGCAGCAGUAAGGAAUUUUUGGCAAUGGAGGAAACUCUGACCGAGCGACGCCGCGUGAACAAUGAAGUACUUCGGUAUGUAAAGUUCUUUUAUUGAAAAAGAAAAAAUAGUGGAAAAACUAUCUUGACAUUAUUCAAUGAAUAAGCCCCGGCUAAUUAUGUGCCAGCAGCCGCGGUAAUACAUAAGGGGCGAGCGUUAUCCGGAAUUAUUGGGCGUAAAGGGUGCGUAGGCGGUUUGAUAAGUCUAUAGUUUAAAUGCAGCGCUUAACGCUGUAGCGCUAUAGAAACUGUCUGACUAGAGUUAGAUAGAGGCAAGCGGAAUUCCAUGUGUAGCGGUAAAAUGCGUAAAUAUAUGGAGGAACACCAGAGGCGUAGGCGGCUUGCUGGGUCUUAACUGACGCUGAGGCACGAAAGCGUGGGGAGCAAACAGGAUUAGAUACCCUGGUAGUCCACGCCGUAAACGAUGAGUACUAAGUGUCGGGUUUCGGCUCGGUACUGAAGUUAACACAUUAAGUACUCCGCCUGAGUAGUACGUACGCAAGUAUGAAACUUAAAGGAAUUGACGGGACCCCGCACAAGCGGUGGAUCAUGUUGUUUAAUUCGAAGAUACACGAAAAACCUUACCAGGUCUUGACAUAAUUUUGCGACAUUAUAGAAAUAUAAUGAAGGUUAUCAGAAUUACAGGUGGUGCAUGGUUGUCGUCAGCUCGUGUCGUGAGAUGUUAGGUUAAGUCCUAAAACGAGCGCAACCCUUGUCGUUAGUUGCGACCACGUAAUGGUGAGCACUUUAGCGAGACUGCCAAUGAAAAAUUGGAGGAAGGUGAGGAUUACGUCAAAUCAUCAUGCCCCUUAUGAUCUGGGCUACAAACGUGAUACAAUGGCUGUUACAAAGAGUAGCUACAACGUGAGUUUUUAGCCAAUCUCAAAAAAACAGUCUCAGUUCGGAUUGAAGUCUGCAACUCGACUUCAUGAAGUUGGAAUCGCUAGUAAUCGCGAAUCAGCAUGUCGCGGUGAAUACGUUCUCGGGGUUUGUACACACCGCCCGUCA